rnacentral:rRNA from 1 species
GGACGGGUGAGUAACGCGUGAGCAACCUGUCCCAAUCUGGGGAAUAACGAGCCGAAAGGUUCACUAAUACCGCAUAAGACCACAGUGCCGCAUGGUACAGGGGUCAAAGGAGUAAUUCGGAUUGGGGUGGGCUCGCGUCUGAUUAGCUAGUUGGUGAGGUAAUGGCUCACCAAGGCGACGAUCAGUAGCCGACCUGAGAGGGUGAUCGGCCACACUGGAACUGAGACACGGUCCAGACUCCUACGGGAGGCAGCAGUGGGGAAUAUUGGGCAAUGGGCGAAAGCCUGACCCAGCAACGCCGCGUGAAGGAAGAAGGUUUUCGGAUCGUAAACUUCUAUCCUUGGUGAAGAUAAUGACGGUAGCCGAGAAGGAAGCCCCGGCUAACUACGUGCCAGCAGCCGCGGUAAUACGUAGGGGGCAAGCGUUGUCCGGAAUGAUUGGGCGUAAAG